rnacentral:rRNA from 1 species
AUGAACGCUGGCGGCGUGCCUAAUACAUGCAAGUCGAGCGAACAGACGAGGAGCUUGCUCCUUUGACGUUAGCGGCGGACGGGUGAGUAACACGUGGAUAACCUACCUAUAAGACUGGGAUAACUUCGGGAAACCGGAGCUAAUACCGGAUAACAUGUUGAACCGCAUGGUUCAACAGUGAAAGACGGUCUUGCUGUCACUUAUAGAUGGAUCCGCGCCGCAUUAGCUAGUUGGUAAGGUAACGGCUUACCAAGGCAACGAUGCGUAGACGACCUGAGAGGGGGAUCGGCGACACUGGAACUGAGACACGGUCCAGGCGCCUACGAGAGGCAGCAGUAGGGAAUCGUACGCAGUGGGCGAAAGCCUGACGGAGCAACGCCGCGUGAGUGGAGAAGGUCUUCGGAUCGUAAAACUCUGUUAUUAGGGAAAAACAGAUGUGGAAGGAACUGUGCACGUCUUGACGGUACCUGAUCAGGAAGCCACGGCUAACUACGUG